AUGCAAAGACUUGGCCUUGCGUACAACAAUCUAACUGGACAUAUUCCUGAUGAGCUUGGGAAACUGACAAAUAUGUGGAGGUUGAACCUAGGAGGAAAUAUGUUGUCAGGCGACGACCUACCGAAUCUCCAAGAGCUUUACUUGAAUAACAACAUGUUUGAAGGUCAAAUACCGGCUUCACUAGGAAAUGCUUCACGGCUGAAAAGGUUAGAAUUAGGAACCAACUAUUUAACUGGCGAAAUUACCAGCUCUUUAGGGAAACUUUCAAACCUUUAUUAUUUAAACCUUCAGCAAAACAAUCUUGAAGCUGUUGACAAACAAAGCUGGGAAUUCUUCAAUGGGUUAACAAACUGUACUAGUCUUGAAGUGCUGGCAUUGGCUGACAAUCAGCUACAGGGAGGCAUACCCAAUACGAUAGGUAACUUCUCUAGUAGCCUCACUGAAAUAUAUCUUAGCGGAAACAAGCUUUCAGGCAUCGUUCUGUCAAGUGUAGGGAACCUUGGUAGCUUAUAUUUUCUAGGACUUGAAUAUAACAAUUUAACGGGUAUGAUUGAAGAAUGGACUGGGAAGCUAACAAAGUUACAAGGUCUUAACCUCCAAGUGAACUGCUUCAUUGGGUCGUUGCCAUCAUCCCUUGGCCAGCUUACUCAGUUGACAGAGCUCAAUCUAGCAAACAAUAAAUUUGAAGGCCCUAUACCACCCACCUUAGGGAACUUGCAACAACUCUCGCUUUUGAACCUUAGUCAGAACAACCUUAAGGGUAACAUACCUAUUCAGGUUGGGGGCCUUAGAGCAUCUCCAGCUGUUGGCUCCCCAGGGGGCUCGUAA
rnacentral:rRNA from 1 species